GUGGGGAAUAUUGGGCAAUGGGCGAAAGCCUUACCCAGCAAUGCCGCGUGAGUGAAGAAGGUCUUCGGAUUGUAAAGCUCUUUGAUCAGGGACGAACACAAUGACGGUACCUGAAGAACAAGCCCCGGCUAACUACGUGCCAGCAGCCGCGGUAAUACGUAGGGGGCAAGCGUUGUCCGGAAUGACUGGGCGUAAAGGGUGUGUAGGCGGGCUCGCAAGUUGGAUGUGUAAUACCCAGAGCUUAACUCGGGUGCUGCAUCUGAAACUACGAGUCUUGAGUGUCGGAGAGGUAAGUGGAAUUCCUAGUGUAGCGGUGGAAUGCGUAGAUAUUAGGAGGAACAUCAGUGGCGAAGGCGACUUACUGGACGAUAACUGACGCUGAGGCACGAAAGCGUGGGGAGCAAACAGGAUUAGAAACCCUAGUAGUCC
rnacentral:rRNA from 1 species